UACGAAGGGGGGCUAGCGUUGCUCGGAAUUACUGGGCGUAAAGGGCGCGUAGGCGGCAUGUUAAGUCAGCUGUGAAAUCUCCGAGCUUAACUCGGAACUGUCAGCUGAUACUGAUGUGCUUGAGUGCGGAAGGGGCAAUCGGAAUUCUUGGUGUAGCGGUGAAAUGCGUAGAUAUCAAGAGGAACACCUGAGGUGAAGACGGGUUGCUGGGCCGACACUGACGCUGAGUGCGCGAAAGCCAGGGGAGCAAACGGG
rnacentral:rRNA from 1 species